rnacentral:rRNA from 1 species
UACGGGGGGAGCAAGCGUUGUUCGGAUUUACUGGGCGUAAAGCGCGUGUAGGCGGUCCGGUAAGUCCGCUGUGAAAGCCAGGGGCUCAACCCUUGGAUGCCGGUGGAUACUGUCGGGCUUGAGUACGGAAGAGGCGAGUGGAAUUCCUGGUGUAGCGGUGAAAUGCGCAGAUAUCAGGAAGAACACCCGUGGCGAAAGCGGCUCUCUGGGACGGUACUGACGCUGAGACGCGAAAGCGUGGGGAGCGAACAGG